GUCUAUUGCCAUGCCACCUUGAACUAGCCCGAUUCCGUCUGAUCUCGGAAGCUAAGCAGGGUCAGGCCUGGUUAGUACUUGGAAGGGAGACCACCUAGAAAGACCAGGUGCUGUACGUG
rnacentral:rRNA from 1 species